CGAAGAACCUUACCUGGGCUUGACAUGUACCUGACCGCCCUGGAAACAGGGUUUCUCUUCGGAGCAGGUUCACAGGUGGUGCAUGGCUGUCGUCAGCUCGUGUCGUGAGAUGUUGGGUUAAGUCCCGCAACGAGCGCAACCCCCGUCGCAUGUUGCCAGCAUUUAGUUGGGGACUCAUGCGAGACUGCCGGUGACAAACCGGAGGAAGGUGGGGAUGACGUCAAGUCAUCAUGCCCCUUAUGUCCAGGGCUACACACGUGCUACAUUGGCGCGUACAGAGGGCUGCGAUACCGCGAGGUGGAGCGAAUCCCUCAAAGCGCGUCUCGGUUCGGAUUGCAGGCUGAAACCCGCCUGCAUGAAGGUGGAGUUGCUAGUAAUCGCGGAUCAGCAUUGCCGCGGUGAAUACGUUCCCGGGUCUUGUACACACCGA
rnacentral:rRNA from 1 species